CCUGAGGUGCCUUCUCUGAUGAAGGAGGAAGCGCGGUGUUUGCUCCGAUGACUGUGGAGCCGACCUCCACUCCCUGGCUUUGCUCUCACCUAAGGAGCAGUCCGGUCUUCCUGGGUGGCUCAGUGGCAAAGGAUCUGCCUGCCAAGCAGGAGACAUGUGUUUGAGCACUGGAUCAGGAAGAUCUCCUGAGAGAAGGGAAUGGCAAUCCACCCCAGUAUUCUUGCCUGGGAAAUGCCAUGGACAGAGGAGCCCGGCGUGUUACAGUCCAUGGGGCCCCAAAGAGUCCACCGACCACCAGCGUUUACAGACUCAGUGAGACCUGGGCUGUGAGGUCACCCAGCCCCGGGACCAAAGGUGUGAGAUGAAGAGGAGGAGCAACAAGUGCCUUGUGUCCUGUGUCCUCUGCCUCAGGGACCAAGUGGAGCAUCAGAGUUCUCCAUGCAUCACAGGCAUCUCCACCCGCCUAGGGGUGGAGACCACCCCUCUGCGACGAUGAGUCCUCCAUCACACCUACGUGGAGUCAGGGGCAUGAAGUGCUUGUGAGCCUAAAACCAACACGCCAAGAUCCAGGGGCACAAUGUCAAGUAUCCAGACCAACAAGUGGGACUUCCCUAGUGGUUCACCAGGAGGGAAUGAUAAUACUUUUAAAAAAAUUUCUUGUUUGGAGGAUAAUUGCUUUACAAUGUUGUGUUUGCUUCUGUUGUACAACAAUGUGAAUCAGCCGUGAGUAUACAUGUGCAUCGGCCUGGAGGGGUGGGAGGCAGUGGGGUGCAGGAGGGAAGGAACAUUUUUAUUUUUUAUUUUUCCUGUGCUGGGUCUUCCUUGCAGCACAUGGAUCUUCUCUAGUAGUGACUUAUGGCCUUAAUUGCUCAGUGGCAUGUGGGAUCUUAGGUCCCUGACCAGGGAUCAAACCUGAGCCCCUUGCAGUGGAAGCA